UACCAGCACCCCGAGUGGUCGGGACGAUUAUUGGGCCUAAAGCAUCCGUAGCCGGUUUUACAAGUCCUCCGUUAAAUCCAGCUGCUUAACAGAUGGGCUGCGGAGGAUACUAUAAGACUAGGAGGCAGGAGAGGCAAGCGGUACUCAGUGGGUAGGGGUAAAAUCCGUUGAUCCAUUGAAGACCACCAGUGGCGAAGGCGGCUUGCCAGAAUGCGCUCGACGGUGAGGGAUGAAAGCUGGGGGAGCAAACCGGAUUAGA
rnacentral:rRNA from 1 species